AUGGUUGACGAGGCCAUAACAACAUUUGUGUAGAUUUCCAAAUCAUGUAGGCCCACUCUAGAGGAUACGUAUUUUUUUAUGGAAAAAUUGGAGUAUCAAUUUGAGUCGGAAAUAUAUGCACAAAUAUGUUUUCACCGUCAUAGAUCAGGCGACACCGUAACUAUACACUAUGCUGACUGUGGUAUUUUACAAGAAAUAUAUACUUUAAAGGUCGACCUAAAAGAUGUUUUUUCUCUGCCACCUCAGCAACAGAUCUGGUACCUAAGAGGCCGAGAACUAGAGGACAAUAAAUCUUUAUUCACGUACGGGAUAACUGGUAUGGAGUCCAAUUAUAGGAGUAACAUAACUAUUGAUGUGAAAAUGAGGUUUUAAAUACCGUGAAUAUUUAAUGUUAAAACAUGUAUUUUUUAAAUUGUCAAUAAUUUCUAAUUAAAUUAUGUACAUGUAUGCUUAUGAAGAAUAAAGUUGUCAAUUUUUGGAACAACAUUGAGAACAUGGAUGUCAUCUACGCAUCAGACUGUCGUUGUAAUGGUCUCAGGUUUGAACCUGCACGCUUUCUGCCCCCCUUACAGUAGUUUAGGGCAAUAAUGGUGAAAUCUUCACUUCAUGAAGUAACCUUGAAAGAUGUCAAAUAAAAGUCAGGAUACUGAACAGCGUGAUACAACGAACAUGUCACUUUACUUGGCUGUGCAGUGUAGUCUGGUAAUGUUUCUAAUGGCCUGGACUAGUGUAGUGACCUAGUUUAGUUUAGAGAGUAUGCUAGUUUUUGUGAAUAAAUCUAUUGUGCAUUGUUUUUAGCGACGGUAAAAAGUAGUGACGUAAUCAGACAGACGAAUGACGUAGACAGAAUAUGGGUACAUGAAGAACAAGAUGGCUAGGGCUUCGAGGAAGAAGAAUAGUGAUAGAGAUUGCUAAGUAAACUGCAGAUAUAUAUAUAUAAAUACAUGUAUAUAGUUCGCCCAUCGUGGUUCGAUGACGGCCACUUUUGUCAUUCAGGGGGCUGAGUGCUUUGCACUGGGGUUUCGUGCAUCCUCAUGUAGCUGGUGAGACCUAUGUGAGCCCGGAAAGUUCGGCUGCACACUGGGCAGGUUGUUCCAGCUGGAGCUAGUCUCCAUGGCCUUGCUUUUUUUUUCUCUGGCGCUUUUCUUCUGCCAAGGACAGAUCGUGUGACAAGAUGAGGAUCCCAUUUGUAAAUAGAUACAUCAGAUUAAGUAUUCAGAAGUCUUGAUAACGUCUAUCGUUGUUCAUUGUAAUGUCUCAUGGCUAGUUUAGACUAGUUAAGUGAAAUAUUAUUGGAUUUACUUAAAACACAAUGACACUAGAUUCAAUAUACAUAAACUUUAUUUAGACUUAAACCUUGAUAUAGAAAACUAUAGCUAACUGACUAUGUAUAUAUAUACAACCUGUAGACGUCUUCUGUAGAUCUAGUGAGAUUAGAUGAUAGAUUUAAAUAUUCCGAUUUAUGAUAAUAAGUUGAACUCAGAUUUAAAUAGCGAGUUUUGUGUUUGAGAUGUGAAUAUCUCAGAAUGAAUCAAAAAUAACUUUUUUUUUGAAUAACGAUUAACCUAAAGAAUCUAGAAUAUCUCUUGGAUUCUGAACUCUUUCAUGUCUGGACCUUAAUUUAUAGUUUUCAGGCGUUACUUCAAUAGGAUUCCAUUAUUUAAGAACUCUAAACUACAUUUCAAUUUCUGAAAUUGAAUGUUCAUCCUUGCAACAAAAUAUGCAUUUAGAAUUUUAAUUUCUAUCCUUUUCAGAACCGUAAAUGUCAUGUCUGCAAUCCUGACAACGUCCGCCCGUGUAACUGACAUAGGUCUUUAGUGCUAAUAUAAUGAUUAGUGCUAUAAUGAAUAAAAGCAAUGUUUUUGAUUCCGAAGAUUAAGGACGCGUGCUGUGAUUCACGUGACAAUGUAGGACCCAGUUGCGACCUUUAUAAUUUACCGCCCAUCACGCAAAAAAAGCCGUUGUCCGUUCUAUUUAAGUUAUCUUUCCGUCUUCUGAGCCUGUAAUGGCUUUUCACUGAGUCUAUAUAAUAAUAAUAAUAUAUAAUACAUGAUAUACACCUAUAUGGCGUAAUAAAAAGUAAAUUAAAAUAAAAUGACUUUGCGAUCUAUAGAGCAGAUCAUUCAUCUUUUUUGUAGCCCAGGUUUUAUGAGUUUGUCAUGUGGCCACCACGACAUAAAGAUCCCGAAACUAAAAAUCUCAGGAUUCGAACUUGGAGUCCCUGGUUUGGAAGCCAAGCGCUUUACCACUUAGCCACCGCGAGUCCGAUUGUUUUAUAUAAUGAUAAUAAAAUAUAUUAUACAAAAAGACUAAUAUCAAAAAAGUGUGUGUGUGAAUCGGGAGUUUUUGUACGUGUAUAGCUGUCAAAAAGAAAAACUGCCGAAUAAGUCAAGCUAGAUGUAAGAGAGACUAUGAGCCAACCCUGGCUCCUUUUAGAUAUAAUAACUAUCUAGAGCUCUGAAUAAUAAUUUAAGUGUCAAUGUUAUAUAACAGCGGUUCUCAACCUUUUAUACCCGGCGACCCCUUUUUACAAUCUGUCUAUCUGCCGCGACCCCUCCCCCCCCCCACACACACACGGCAGUAGAAGAAGAGACAAUAAUAAUCUAUAUUUUCGAUGGUCUUAGGCGACCCCUGGCAAAUCGUCAAUCGACCCCCAAGGGGGUCGCGACCCACAGGUUGAGAACCCCUGUUAUAUAAUCUCCAACUCUUUAUCAGAGGCGGACUGGGUGUUAAGAUCGGCCCAUGGCAUUUCUAUUCAAUCCGUCUUACAAAUUGUAUAACAUAUGAUAGACAUCCAAUUCUAGGUCUACCUGUCCUCAAAAUCAUUCUGUUAAGUUUGAUAAUGUAUCGAUAUCUGUAUAAAUGCAUACAAUGAACUCUGUAUCUUUAUAAGUUAUAUAGGCCUUUUGUUGCCUUUUAAUCGCUAAGUAUGUAGGCCCUAAAAGGGUGGAGCCUAUUAGUAGCACCGAUUACGGAUAAAGACUAUUACAUUAUUUCGUAAAAUUGUUACAUUAAAUUAGUAUUACACUGUAGAGUCUGUGAAAUAUUUUUUACUUUAAACACGACGCUCAGAUAAUAUUGUCAAACCUUGAACAAUGUAAUACAUUCUAAUGUGGCAGUCUUGAGGCACUUUUGGUGGUCCCACCGGCCCAUUUGGGUACAUCCCCACCGGGCAGUUGCCCAAAUGCCCAUAUAGCCAGUCCGCCCCUGGUCUUUAUAUAUUUGACUCAAGUAUUUUCUCUGAUUCUGUGUUAGAGAGUAUGUGCUAUUUUAUUUAUAUAUGUAUAUCAUACAGAAAUAAACACAAUACUUUUCUAAGUUUAACGUCAUAUAUUUUCUAAGCACAUGUUUUAAACAUCUUCGCAUUUCACAAUAUUUUUAAUAAUGGAAUUAGCUGUUCUACAUGAAUGGUUAUGGUGGUUAAACUACUACACACUCGCAGUUUGGGCUUAUUUUGUUUGGUAGGACUGUUACAAGUUUUUAGGGUCAGUUUUCGUUAAUAUUUCUACGGUCAUUUUUUUUAUGUGUGGAAUCGCUUCGUAGUGUCGUAGUUUUCUAGUUUAGUUUUAGACACGAGUUUUAAUUUGUUUUAUCAUAGAGAAGAGGCGUAGUGAGGACUAACCCUAAACCUAACCCUGGCGCCCAAGGCCAGAAACUUUAUUGGCACCCUUCCCCCCUUCCCCCCAUUUUCCAUGAAUAUCACAUAGAAAUAUAGGUCUAAAAGUAAAAAAGUAUUUAAUAAUUAUAUUGUUACGAAUCUUACUAUCCAGGCUCUCUGCAAAAUGCAACUUACACCACCAACUUUAAGAACUUGACAACUCAGGGCUCCAAAGUAACGUAACAGUUUAAUGUCCAAUAAAUUACAGCCAAUACUGUACAAUUGGCAACUCGUAACACAGGCUGCACAAAUAUCUCUCCGUAUCAACCGUACCGCCGUAUCAACUCUUGCACUGGCCUCUCCGUAUCGUUCCGGGCUUGCACUGGGUUCAACAGUUCUGGACUGACUUUACACACUGGACUCGUUGUGUCGGACUCGAUCACAGACCAAGAUCAAGACGCCGUUCGUCUCAACUGUACUUGAUAGUACUCCGAACUGAACCGUCGUAAUGCUCCGUACAGAACCACACCGCUGAACUUUGCUGUAGUCGACCGGACUGUAGUGAACCGGGCUGUAGUGAACCGGGCUCUGAACCGUCUUGACUGCGACACCUCCGCUCUUUAUAUAGGGUCCCUAAUGGCCUUCUAGAACCGGACAGAACACCGCUCGACGUUUCUAGCUUCGUCACAUGACUGCAUCCCUCGUGACGCUCCUGAGCUCUGUUCACGACGCCGAUCCUUCAUGUUGACACUCGUCUCGGCUGACCGUCGUAACUCGUCACGGUUGACCGCUCGUCUAGCGCUGGCGAUUUGCGUCGGCUGACUACACACAUACCACUACCCCCAUCUGUGCCACGACCAGGUUUAUAACACUAUAGUACAAAUAACGUAAGAAUGUACUAUUUUUUUGGCGUCUCUCUGCGUGUGCCCCCCCCCUUUCAGGGUGGUUGCCCGGGGCAUCGUGAGCCCCUUGCCCCACUCUCACAUAGACUUUGACUGACCUUGUUAGUGUUGGACCUCUGUUGAUAUGGCUCUUGACAGUGUUAUUGAGGUAGACCCCUAUCAUUCUUAUGAUGCAGUGUUUUGCAGUUAGCUCACUCAGGGGCCGGCCUUUAGCCGAUUAGGCCGAUUGUCAUAAUUGGGCCCCCGCGCCUGGCAGGGCCCAGCAAUUUCAAAUUUAGCAUAUCUCUAUCCUUCGUGUCUCUUGUCACAGGCCAAGCUGUAAAACUUAAAGCGUUAACAUAUUUAGCGUAUCGUACGAUUGACACAGUCUUAAUUAACCCACUGGCCCCUAUUAAGUUUGAAAUUCUCCCUUUGCAUGUUGUAUAUUAAAUUGUUAUAUUAUGAUCUAAUUAAUAAUGAUAGUUAUUUAUGUAAAAUAAUACAAGGGGGCCUCGAAAACAUCCAUUAAAUUAGGCCCCGCAAUUUUUAAGACUGGCCCUGAUCUCACUUUUAUGUCAGUGGGGGAGGUGUUGCUAGAUUAAGAUUGAUAUUUGAUAAGAAAUUCAUUAGUUUAUUUAUGCAUACUUUGUAAUGAAGAUAUAUAUAUAAACAAGUUGCAUUUCAUAUAUUGUAUUAGCUAUAAUAGCAAUAUACACGUAUAAUAAAUAUAUGGGUACUAAAGCUUUAAAUGAGUGAUGCGUGUGUAAUUGUUUGAUGUAUAAUAGGAUAAUACUGUAUAGAGUUUAAAAAAAACAACUUUAUAAUUCAAACGAAGUUAGUGCUCAUAGUCGAAUGUUAUAAAUUUACAUGGCAUUCAGCUAAUUAGCGACAAACAUCGUGGAAAGAAGAUGGGUAGAGCGACAUUGUCCACAAUUUGUCCUUUUGCAAACAACAAACCCCUCUUAGGCAGCUGUUUAAGACAAAACAACUAUUAAAAAAGCUAAAAAAGAUUCUAGAAAUAAAAAUCACCACCUUGGGUCAGGAUUUUUUUUAUUUUACCAUCAUAAAAGAGAUACAAGACACCGAUAGCAAGACAGGAAGGCUGCCUGGUCGUGAGGUUUGCGCGCUGGACUGUCGUUCGGAUUUAUCGAUGGUCGAGUGUUCAAAUCCUGCCCGCUCCCAUCCCCCGUCGUCCUGCGGGAGGUUUGGACUAGGAAGUAAACUAUCUUCAACUCUGAAGGAACAUCCGAAACAUGUAAAACAAACAAACAUUUAAAAAUUACUUCAUAUAUAUAUAUAUAUAUAGACCGACCAUCUCAUGGAUGAUGAAUGCCUGGGCAUUAAUUGUGGACGGGACGAUGUCUCCCACACUGCAUUUCUCCUCUCCACACAGCUGAUCUAUCCAAAGGAACAGCAAGUACCGAUACAGUUUGGGCAGUUUGGGGUCAGCGUCGUCGCAGGCUCUGCCAGGGUAAAGCACUGAGUGCUUCAAACUGCCGGCUUCUGUUUUUUUUUUCUCAGAGUUGACUCCCUUAGUUUAACUCAAUGAACAGCUUCCAGUAAAUGUACACCAUUGCACGAGUCACUCUGUGGCAUUUUACGUCUCGAGAGACGAUCUUUUCCCUUCGCAACUUCUUGUGUGACUAAAGAGGCCAAUUCCUUGAUACACAGCUGCGAUCGCAGGUUGGGCGUAUGUAAUCACCAUGCGCCGUUGCAUUUUCACCCUUCUUUCUGCUUCUGUUGUGCAGUCCGAGACCCUUCCUUUAUGCCCUCUCUCUGCAUGUGAAUAUAUCCAGUCACUAUGUAACACAAUUUAGACCUUAGUAAACAAAUAUCUCUGCCUCUACUGGUUACAGUUGUACACUGAUCCAUUUUGCGAUUGGAAAUAAUAUAUUUACUUUUAAAAUUGCCUUUGCUUAGCGCUACUUUCAUGCUUAUAGCAUGCUUACCGCACUAUGGUCCAAACUCAUUUGUGGAUCGGGGGGGGGGGGGGGGGCUUUACAAGUUGCAUCCGCAAAAAUAUAUUUAAGAAAAAAUAAACCUUUUGGGGAUCGUCUUCUAGGUCUAGAUUUAAAGGCCAAACAUUGGAAUUUGUUUAAAGGUAUAGUAGAUUAACUCUUUCUCUCCGUAAUUAUUUGCCACAUUCUGGUGGAAUCAACGCUGGUAUCGUCAGUUAGGAGAGAAAGAGUUAAUACAUUCUUUUCACCAGGAUUUGUUUGUAUGUUGGGGAGGAAGAGGCGUGGGGAGAUGUUUCUUUUUUUUAAAAAAAAUCUAACAUUCAUUAGUUAUUGAGAGCAAAAGAAUCACUCUGUUAGGCGCAGACAUUUCACUUGUAACAUUUGAGUUCAACUAAUGUGAAGCUUUAUUCUGUUUCUAUAGUUUCUUAGUUAUAAUGUAAUUUUUAAUGCAUACACUCUUUGAUAAAUUUUAUUAUGGAUAAUAAAAGUUAUUAUUAUUAA